UGCCUACGGGGCGCAGCAGUGGGGAAUAUUGCGCAAUGGGGGAAACCCUGACGCAGCAACGCCGCGUGAGUGAAGAAGGCCUUCGGGUUGUAAAGCUCUUUAAUCAGGGACGAAGAAUGACGGUACCUGAAGAAUAAGCACCGGCUAACUACGUGCCAGCAGCCGCGGUAAUACGUAGGGUGCGAGCGUUAAUCGGAAUUACUGGGCGUAAAGGGUGCGCAGGCGGUUGAGUAAGACAGAUGUGAAAUCCCCGAGCUUAACUCGGGAAUGGCAUAUUGUACUGCUCGACUAGAG
rnacentral:rRNA from 1 species